UACGUAGGGGGCUAGCGUUGUCCGGAAUCAUUGGGCGUAAAGCGCGUGUAGGCGGCCCGGUAAGUCCGCUGUGAAAGUCCAGGGCUCAACCCUGGGAUGCCGGUGGAUACUGUCGGGCUCGAGUCCGGAAGAGGCGAGUGGAAUUCCUGGUGUAGCGGUGAAAUGCGCAGAUAUCAGGAGGAACACCGGUGGCGAAGGCGGCAUCCUGGACCGGCAUUGACGCUGAUGAGCGAAAGCUAGGGGAGCAAACGGG
rnacentral:rRNA from 1 species